rnacentral:rRNA from 1 species
UACAGAGGGUGCAAGCGUUAUCCGGAAUACUGGGCGUAAAGCGUGCGCAGGCGGUGAUGUAAGACCGAUGUGAAAUCCCCCGGGCUCAACCUGGGAAUUGCGUUGGAGACUGCAAGGCUGGAGUCUGGCAGAGGGGGGGUAGAAUUCCACGUGUAGCAGUGAAAUGCGUAGAGAUGUGGAGGAACACCGAUGGCGAAGGCAGCCCCCCUGGGUCAAGACUGACGCUCAUGCACGAAAGCGUGGGGAGCAAACAGG